CUUGGGUUUUCUCUUGUAAAAUGGGGAUAAUAUAUAAAUGACUAGGACAGUGAUGAGGAUUCAGUGAGAAAAUAUAUAUACUUGAGCCCUUUGUGGGCCUUAAAGCUUUAUGCAAAUGUUAGUUUUUAGGAUUAAAAAAAAGUUUCAAGGUGUUUCUCAUUUGUCAUUUUGGUAACUUGGUAGGAAAAGUAAACACUUUUUCUUCUAAUUCCAGCUCUGUCCCUAUGUGUCAGGGCCUUGAGCAAAGCAUUCGCAAACCCUGCUUUGUCAAGUGGGAAGGGGUCUCUCUCCCUCUCCCUCACCCCCUCCCUCUCCCUCUCUCCGUCUCUCCUUCAUUUCCUCUUCUCGCAGAUGUAAAGAUUCACUGGACAGGGUCCAUGCUGUCUGCCAGGAAGAUGGAACGUGUGAAGUAUCAUCUGGAUGCGCUUGCAAAAGCAGAGAUCCCAACCCCAAGGCUCAAACGGAAUUUCAGAUACCUGUGAAAACACAGCUCUGAGUUUGUAUGAAAAGAUCUCCGGUGCCCAGGAAACAAGAGCAUCAUCAGCACGCUCAGUGCAUCGGAUCAGACCGCGGAGUUGUUGACAGAAGCUUGGCGGGGCUCGCCAGCGCUCCACACGGAAUGCUGGCUUCCUUCUCAUACACCCCCUACCGUUUGUGUCUCUGCCAAUUGUAGCACAUCAGAGCGGCCAUUGAGAUAAUGACCGUGAAGUCUCAUGAUACACUUUGAUGAAGUGUAACAUUUUUUAAAGGAUUUUUGUCUGUGCCAAGAUGAUCGAGGCAGCUGACUAAAAAUCGCCCCAUCAAAAUCAAGGCUGAUUGAUGAACAGCAGGCGGAGGCAUGAGCCUCCCCAGAGAAGAUGGGGGAAUUUUGCAACCAAAGUGUCUUUCUUUCCGUGUCUACACGCAGCACAGAUUUCUUUUUUAAAAAGUCAUCUUUGUUUCAGAUGAAUUUAUGUCAGUGGCUGAUGCUUCAGCCGCCAACAUUUUUUAAUUCUUUUUUCUUCUGUCAACCUCUGAAAGAUACAAGGAGUGAUUCCUUUCUGACAGUUCUUACUAACGACUUAGAAAAUGACGUUGUUAAUAACCCGGUGUUGGUUGGGAAAAGCACAUUGGGCAUUUCAGGGCAAUGCAGAAGUUUUCAGAGUCUGACCCUGGUGUAAUGUUCAGCCCAGCCACCAUGUAAACAAGCCCUGGCUCUCCCAGACUGCCCUGCCAGGGAGGCCCUGGAGAAUGAGAGGCCACGUGGAGAUGCGUGGAGCCAGCCCUGUGGAAAGGCACACGUAAGCCUGUAAGUGGAUCCUCCCCGCGAGCUGAACCUCGAAGUGACUGAAGCUCCUGCAGACGCCUUGAUCUGCAGUCUUCCGAAUGACUCUGAGCUAGGACCACCCAGUUCAGCCUCUUCUGGAUUCCUGAGCCACAGAAACUAGGAGGGAAUAAGUUGCUGAUUUUUGCAGUAAUUUGUUGUGCAGCAAAGGAUAACUAAAGCGCAGGACUGGCGUAUUUUUGUAUUCUCCAAAGCGUAUAAUAGGAUCCUUUGGUCAUAAGAGGAGUUUAUUACAUGACUGUUGGAAUCAGAGGAAUGUUGCCUUGAGAAAUUUUCAAGAGUAGUUGAUUUCUAGGUUUGUAAGGGUUGUAUUCACUGUAGGUCCCAGGGAAACUAUGUCGGAAUAAGUUAUUGGAAAAAACCAAAAAGGGUGGAGGUUAGGGGAACCUCUAAUGGAAAGAAGGGAAAAACGUGGUAAGUUUGAGGAAAACACAAUUAAGCUUCCAGACAAUUUGAGUUUUCCUGUGGUUGUGGUUUUCUACCUUGAUAAAGUGAGUCUUUUAAAAAAUAACCAUUUGAAAAGAAUUGAGGUCCAGCUACCCAAAUAAAUAUGUACAGUAUGAUAAAGCCCAGAAGUGCCAAAGUGUCAGCCAGAGGCCACUAUUUGAGGACCAAGUGCAACGUUGAAGAGUCUGCGUUUGCAUUUGGCCGAGACAAGGACCCAAAGGACUCUGCCUCACAUCUAUUCUUUCCCCCAGUACAUACCUUCUUCUCAACAUCCUGACAUUUAUAUUUUUUCUGUUUUUUAUGGAGGUAUAAUUGAUUUACAAUAUCAUGAGUUUCAGGUAUACAACAUAGUGAUUCACAACUUUUCAAGGUUAUAUUCCAUUUAUAGUUACUAUAAAAUAUUGGCUGUAUUCCCCGUGCCGUACAAUAUAUGCUUGUGGCUUGUGUAUUUUGUACAUGGUGGUUUGUACCUCUUAGUCCCCUACUCCUGGCUUGCCAUUCCCCACUCUCCCUCUCCUCACUGGUAACCACUAGUGUGUUGUCUAUA